rnacentral:lncRNA from 1 species
AUGCCCCGCCCAAAUUGUGUCAUGGCAUUCCGUGAUUAGUGAUUUCCUCAGAUCUCCGCCCUUAGGAACAUAUAGGCGGUCUCCCUUUGUCUUCACCCUUAGGAACAUAUAGGCGGUCUCCCUUUGUCUUCACUAGUUCUCCAUCUAGCCAGAACUGUCGAGUUUUACCCUGCUUGAUAAGGUCGACCAAAUAUUGGGUAGCCGGGUCCUUCUCCAUAAGUGCCUGAAUUUGGUCUCUAGUGUUCGUGGAGACUGCGCUCCCUGCAAGAGCAGCUACAGAGCAGAUGGUAGCUAAAUCAGCCCGUCGACUAAGAGCAUCGGCAACAUGAUUAUUAGAGCCGGGACGAUAAUCUAACAUAAAAUUGAACUCCGAAAGGAAUUCCUGCCAACGAGCCUGUUUGCUCGAUAGUUUUGGUUGGGACAUAAAGUAACUAACUGCAGUGUUAUCUGUCUUCACAAUAAAUGGAGACCCAAGCAGAUAGUGACGCCAUCCUCUGAGACAAUGGACAACUGCUAACAAUUCCUUUUCAUGUGCCGAGUAACGACGUUC